rnacentral:rRNA from 1 species
AGCGGCGGAUGGGUGAGUAACACGUGGGGAACCUUGACCCCCAUAGUCUGGGGAUACCACUUUGGGAAACAGGUGCUAAUACCGGAUAAUAAAGCAGAUCGCAUGAUCAGCUUAUAAAAGGCGGCGUAAGCUGUCGCUAUGGGAUGGCCCCGCGGUGCAUUAGCUAGUUGGUAAGGUAACGGCUUUACCCAAGGCAAUGAUGCAUUAGCCGAGUUGAGAAGACUGAACGGCCACAUUGGGACUGAGACACGGCCCUAAACUCC